rnacentral:tRNA from 1 species
GCCCCAAUAGCUCAAAUGGUAGAGCAGCGAUGCGCAUGGUCAAGACAGCAGGAUGCCGGUUCGAGUCCGGUUUGGGGCG